rnacentral:rRNA from 1 species
AUUGAACGCUGGCGGCAGGCUUAACACAUGCAAGUCGAGCGAGCGGCGGACGGUUGAGUAAUGUCUUGGAAACUGCCUGAUGGAGGGGGAUAACUACUGGCAACGGUAGCUAAUACCGCAUACCCUCAGAUGUGCCCAGAUGGGAUUAGCUAGUAGGUUGGGUAAUGGCUCACCUAGGCGACGAUCCCUCGCUGGGCUGAGAGGAUGACCAUCCAAACGGGAACUGAGACACGGUCCAGACGCCUACGGGAGGCAGCAGGGGGGAAUAUUGCAAAAUGGGCGCAAGCCUGAUGCAGCCAUGCCGAGUGUGUGAAGAAGGCCUUCGGGUUGUAAAGCACUUUCAGCGAGGAGGCGUUACUCGCAGAAGAAGCACCGGCUAACUCCGUGCCAGCAGCCGCGGUAAUAC